rnacentral:rRNA from 1 species
AUUGAACGCUGGCGGCAGGCCUAACACAUGCAAGUCGAGCGAGCGGCGGACGGGUGAGUAAUGUAUGGGGACUGCCCGAUAGAGGGGGAUAACUACUGGAAACGGUAGCUAAUACCGCAUACUAUCGGAUAACCCAUAUGGGAUACGCUAGUAGGUGAGGUAAUGGCUCACCUAGGCGACGAUCCCUAGCUGGUCUGAGAGGAUGAUCCGCCACACGGGGACUGAGGCACGGCCCAGCCUCCUACGGAGGCAGCAGUGGGGAAUAUUGGACAAUUGGCGCAAGCCUUAGUCAGCCAUGCCGCGUGGAUGAAGAAGGCCCUAUGGUUGUAAAGUACUUUCAGUCGGGAGGCGUUACCGACAGAAGAAACACCGGCUAACUCCGUGCCAGCAGCCGCGGUAAUAC